rnacentral:rRNA from 1 species
UCUUCUGUGUAAUGCGAUGAGAGGACGGAGAAGGCUAAAUCAGCCUGGCGUUGGUUGUCCAGGUGAAAGGAUGUAGGCAUGUAUCUUAGGCAAAUCCGGGGUACUCUAUGCUGAGAUCUGAUAGCAAGCUGUACUUGUACAGCGAAGUGGUUGAUGCCAUGCUUCCAGGAAAAGUCCCUAAGCUUCAGUUACACAGGAAUCGUACCCGAAACCGACACAGGUGGUCAGGUCGAGUAGACCAAGGCGCUUGAGAGAACUCUGCUGAAGGAACUAGGCAAAAUGGUACCGUAACUUCGGGAGAAGGUACGCUGUUGUUGGUGAUGGAACUCGCUUCCUGAGCUGACGACAGCCGCAGAAACCAGGCCGCUGCAACUGUUUAUUAAAAACAUAGCACUCUGCAAACACGAAAGUGGACGUAUAGGGUGUGAUGCCUGCCCGGUGCUGGAAGGUUAAUUGAUGGGGUUAGCGUAAGCGAAGCUCUUGAUCGAAGCCCCAGUAAACGGCGGCCGUAACUAUAACGGUCCUAAGGUAGCGAAAUUCCUUGUCGGGUAAGUUCCGACCUGCACGAAUGGCAUAAUGAUGGCGGCGCUGUCUCCAGCAGAGGCUCAGUGAAAUCGAAAUCGCUGUGAAGAUGCAGUGUACCCGCGGCUAGACGGAAAGACCCCGUGAACCUUUACUGCAGCUUGACACUGAACUUUGACCUUACUUGUGUAGGAUAGGUGGGAGGCUUUGAAGCUGGAACGCUAGUUCCAGUGGAGCCGUCCUUGAAAUACCACCCUGGUAAUGUUGAGGUUCUAACUCUGUCCCGUGAUCCGGGACGAGGACCGUGUCUGGUGGGUAGUUUGACUGGGGCGGUCUCCUCCUAAAGACUAACGGAGGAGUACGAAGGUGCGCUCAGCGUGGUCGGAAAUCACGCGUAGAGUAUAAAGGCAAAAGCGCGCUUAACUGCGAGACCCACAAGUCGAGCAGGUACGAAAGUAGGUCUUAGUGAUCCGGUGGUUCUGUAUGGAAGGGCCAUCGCUCAACGGAUAAAAGGUACUCUGGGGAUAACAGGCUGAUACCGCCCAAGAGUUCAUAUCGACGGCGGUGUUUGGCACCUCGAUGUCGGCUCAUCUCAUCCUGGGGCUGAAGCAGGUCCCAAGGGUAUGGCUGUUCGCCAUUUAAAGAGGUACGCGAGCUGGGUUUAGAACGUCGUGAGACAGUUCGGUCCCUAUCUACCGUGGGCGCUGGAAAUUUGAGAGGAUCUGCUCCUAGUACGAGAGGACCAGAGUGGACGAACCUCUGGUGUACCGGUUGUGACGCCAGUCGCAUCGCCGGGUAGCUAUGUUCGGAAGGGAUAACCGCUGAAAGCAUCUAAGCGGGAAGCCUACCUCAAGAUAAGAUUUCCCUAGGACUUUAUGUCCUCUAAAGAGCCGUUCGAGACUAGGACGUUGAUAGGUUGGAUGUGG